UGGCGAACGGGUGAGUAACGCGUGAGGAACCUGCCUCAAAGAGGGGGACAACAGUUGGAAACGACUGCUAAUACCGCAUAAGCCCACGGGUCGGCAUCGACCUGAGGGAAAAGGAGCAAUCCGCUUUGAGAUGGCCUCGCGUCCGAUUAGCUAGUUGGCGAGGUAACGGCCCACCAAGGCGACGAUCGGUAGCCGGACUGAGAGGUUGAACGGCCACAUUGGGACUGAGACACGGCCCAG
rnacentral:rRNA from 1 species